UACAGAGGGGGCAAGCGUUGUUCGGAAUUACUGGGCGUAAAGGGCUCGUAGGCGGCCAACUAAGUCGGACGUGAAAUCCCUCGGCUUAACCGGGGAACUGCGUCCGAUACUGGAUGGCUGGAGGUUGGGAGAGGGAUGCGGAAUUCCAGGUGUAGCGGUGAAAUGCGUAGAUAUCUGGAGGAACACCGGUGGCGAAGGCGGCAUCCUGGACCGGUAUUGACGCUGAGGCGCGAAAGCUAGGGGAGCAAACGGG
rnacentral:rRNA from 1 species